GACGAACGCUGGCGGCGUGCUUAACACAUGCAAGUCGAACGAAGAGCGAUGGAAGCUUGCUUCUCUCAAUCUUAGUGGCGAACGGGUGAGUAACGCGUAAUCAACCUGCCCUUCAGAGGGGGACAACAGUUGGAAACGACUGCUAAUACCGCAUACGAUCUAAUCUCGGCAUCGAGGAUAGAUGAAAGGUGGCCUCUACAUGUAAGCUAUCACUGAAGGAGGGGAUUGCGUCUGAUUAGCUAGUUGGAGGGGUAACGGCCCACCAAGGCGAUGAUCAGUAGCCGGUCUGAGAGGAUGAACGGCCACAUUGGGACUGAGACACGGCCCAGACUCCUACGGGAGGCAGCAGUGGGGAAUCUUCCGCAAUGGACGAAAGUCUGACGGAGCAACGCCGCGUGAGGGAUGACGGCCUUCGGGUUGUAAAGCUCUGUUAAUCGGGACGAGAGGCCUUCUUGCGAAUAGUGAGAAGGAUUGACGGUACCGGAAUAGAAAGCCACGGCUAACUACGUG
rnacentral:rRNA from 1 species